rnacentral:lncRNA from 1 species
GGGUAUUUGUUUUCUUCAAAAUAGCAGAAUGCCGUCAAUAUUUUUAUAUGAUAUUCGAUCAUAGAGAAGACUGUGUCUGUGAAAUUAUCUGUGUAGUAAGGCCAAGAAAAAAAUACAUGUGUUUCAGGUAACAUCCCCUAAAAAAUUAGGAUCGGUAGGAAAGCAAAAUAGUUUUUUUUUCAAACGUUUUUGACUGGUUCA